UAAACUUCUGCUUGCCACCGGUUGACCUCCACAGAAGAACCAGCCAGGCUUUUCCUGUCAGGCUUCCUGUUUUUUUGACAGUGUGCACCACUUCCUGUCACUUCCUGGGAUUUUAAACCAAACUAGACCUAUCAGUCUCACAUACUGCUCAUUCACUUUAAUAGCAAAAGUUGAAAGCAAAAGAAAAAAGGAGUAACAAAAGAUUCCAAACUCCUUGAAACAUGAUAUACAAUUUUGCCUUGGGUGCAGGCUGCGUGUAUUUGAUAGUGGCGUGAUGGUGGUCCAGCUGCAGUCUCACAGCGAAGAGGAAAUGAUUGCCUCAGCGCUGGACAAUGUGACAGACAAAGGGUCCUUAACAGCUGAAGAGUUUGCUAAACUGUUGGGUCUCUCUGUACUUCUGUCUAAGGAGCGAUUGCUCCUGGCUGAGAAGAUGGGCCACCUUUGUCGAGAUGACUCCGUUGAGGGUUUGAGGUUCUACCCAAACCUCUUUUGAGGUUUUGCAUCCAUCCUGGAUUAACUUCAUAUCAUGUUCAGAACUAUUUUUGCUUGUGCACCCGUUCUUGUCAAACCAAAGUGUGCACAUUUGAGCUUGCUACAGAAUGGUGAUACUUACUCUCACUGUGUCAGAAAGGAAUGAUUAUGAAUGAAUGAAUGUGUAUGAAAUCCUGUUGUAAAUAAAUGCCACCAGGGCUAUUUUUA